GACGAACGCUGGCGGCGUGCCUAGUACAUGCAAGUCGAACGCACAGUUUAUACCGUAGCUUGCUACACCAUAAACUGUGAGUUGCGAACGGGUGAGUAACGCGUAGGUAACCUGCCUGGUAGCGGGGGAUAACUAUUGGAAACGAUAGCUAAUACCGCAUAAUAUUGAUUAUUGCAUGAUAAUUGAUUGAAAGAUGCUAUUGCAUCACUACCAGAUGGACCUGCGUUGUAUUAGCUAGUAGGUGAGGUAACGGCUCACCUAGGCGACGAUACAUAGCCGACCUGAGAGGGUGAUCGGCCACACUGGGACUGAGACACGGCCCAGACUCCUACGGGAGGCAGCAGUAGGGAAUCUUCGGCAAUGGACGAAAGUCUGACCGAGCAACGCCGCGUGAGUGAAGAAGGUUUUCGGAUCGUAAAGCUCUGUUGUAAGAGAAGAACGGGUGUGAGAGUGGAAAGUUCACACUGUGACGGUAUCUUACCAGAAAGGGACGGCUAACUACGUG
rnacentral:rRNA from 1 species